GUGGCCGUAGCUCAACGGCAGAGCACCGGUGUGUGAAGCCGGUGAUGAGGGUUCGACUCCCUUCGGCCACCCCA
rnacentral:tRNA from 1 species